rnacentral:rRNA from 1 species
AUUGAACGCUGGCGGCAGGCUUAACACAUGCAAGUCGAGCGGUAACAGAGAGAAGCUUGCUUCUCUGCUGACGAGCGGCGGACGGGUGAGUAAUGCCUAGGAAUCUGCCUAGUAGUGGGGGAUAACUUGCCGAAAGGUAAGCUAAUACCGCAUAAGUCCUACGGGAGAAAGGAGGGGAACUUCGGGCCUUUCGCCAUUAGCUGAUCCUAGUUGGGAUUAGUUAGUUGGUGAGGUAAUGGCUCACCAAGACCGCGAUCCGUAACUGGUCUGAGAGAAUGAUCAGUCACACUGGACCUGAGACACGGUCCAGACUCCUACGGGAGGCAGCAGUGGGGAAUAUUGGACAAUGGGGGGAACCCUGAUCCAGCCAUGCCGCGUGUGUGAAGAAGGUCUUAGGAUUGUAAAGCACUUUAAGUUGGGAGGAAGAGCAGUUAACUAAUAUUUGACUGUUUUGACGUUACCGACAGAAUAAGCACCGGCUAACUUCGUGCCAGCAGCCGCCGUAA